rnacentral:rRNA from 1 species
AUUGAACGCUGGCGGCAGGACUAACACAUGCAAGUCGAACGAGUGGCGGACGGGUGAGUAAUGUCUGGGAAACUGCCAGAUGGAGGGGGAUAACUACUGGACACGGUAGCUAAUACCGCAUACCAUCGGAUGUGCCCAGAUGGGAUUAGCUGGUAGGUGGGGUAACGGCUGACCUAGCCGACGCUCCCGAGCUGGUCUGAGAGGAUGACCAGCAACACUGGAACUGAUACACGGUCCAGACUCCUACGGGAGGCAGCAGUGGGGAAUAGUGCACAAUGGGUGCAAGCCUGAUGCAGCCAUGCCGCGUGUAUGAAGAAGGCCUUCGGGUUGUAAAGUACUUUCAGAGGGGAGGCGUUACUCGCAGAAGAAGCACCGGCUAACUCCGUGCCAGCAGCCGCGGUAAUAC